rnacentral:rRNA from 1 species
GACGAAGCGUAAGUGACGGUACCUAUAGAAGAAGCACCGGCCAACUACGUGCCAGCAGCCGCGGUAAUACGUAGGGUGCGAGCGUUGUCCGGAAUUACUGGGCGUAAAGCGUGCGCAGGCGGACUUUUAAGCCAGAUGUGAAAGCCCCGAGCUUAACUUGGGAAUUGCGUUUGGAACUGGGAGUCUAGAGUCUGUCAGAGGGGGAUGGAAUUCCACGUGUAGCAGUGAAAUGCGUAGAGAUGUGGAGGAACACCGAUGGCGAAGGCAGUCCCCUGGGAUAAGACUGACGCUCAUGCACGAAAAGCGUGGGGAGCAAACAGGAUUAGAUACCCUGGUAGUCCACGCCUAAACGAUGUCUACUAGUUGUUGGGGUAGCAAUACCUCAGUGACGCAGCUAACGCGUGAAGUAGACCGCCUGGGGAGUACGGUCGCAAGAUUAAAACUCAAAGG